rnacentral:rRNA from 1 species
AUGCGCGCUCACUCCCGCCGCCUAGACGUCCCCGCCGCGCUCUCGUUCUUCGCGGGCAUGCGACGCUCCGCCACCCUGCCCGACGCCCACACCUUCGCUUGCGUCCUCCGCGCAUGCGCCGGCUGUUCUCGGCCGGGCGCCGCCAAGAUCCUCCAUGGUAUUGCGUCAUCUUCCGGCUGUUCCUCCCAUCCAAUCGUCAGUAGUGCGCUCGUUAGCGCAUAUUCAAAGUUCUUGCUUGUGGACAGUGCUCGCCAUGUGUUUGAUGGUUUGCGUGAGCCCGAUUUGGUUCUCUGGAACUCAAUGAUGUCCGGGUAUGGGUACAGGCAAAUGUGGCUUGAGGGGCUUCAACUGUUUUCUGCAAUGCUCAGGACUGGGGAGGAGCCAGAUGACUACUCCAUGGUCAGCUUGGUCUCGUCCUUCAGGGAUCCAGAAGCUCUUGCUUUUGGUCAAGCAGUUCAUGGAGUGUGUAUCAAGGGCGGUUAUGAUUCUGGCGACCAUGCGAGAAGCGCACUUGUUAGCAUGUAUUUCAGGUGCGGGUGCAUGGAAUCGGGUCAAACAUUGUUUGGUAGUUUGCUGGAUGCGGAUUUGGUUACAUGUUCUUCACUAAUUACAGGGCAAGUGCAGAGUGGCAAGUAUGACGAGUCAUUUAAUUUGUUCAGAGAAAUGUGCUACUUCAGCAGGAGGCCUGACAGCAUCUUGAUUGCUAGUCUUCUUUCAGCGUGUGCUUCUACAGCCACUAUCAGCUGUAGCAAGGAGAUCCACUGUUAUGCAGUCAGGGUUGGAGCUGAUACAGACACCAAAGUCUCAUCUUCACUAAUGGAUGCUUAUGCAAAAUGUGGUUUUGCUGAACUGGGAUAUUUGGUAUUCCGCCAAAUUCCUAAUAAGAACUCAGUCAUGUACAAUAUGGUCAUAUCAAACCUUGGUUCUCACGGAUUUGUAAUGAAGGCCAUUGAAGUCCAUGAUGAGAUGGUUCGUGAUAAGCUCAGGCCUGAUGGUGCUACCUUCUCAGCUUUAGUUGCUGCUUGUUGUCAUGCAGGACUCCUAGAUGAGUGA